GAUGAACGCUGGCGGCGUGCCUAAUACAUGCAAGUCGAGCGAACGGACGAGAAGCUUGCUUCUCUGAUGUUAGCGGCGGACGGGUGAGUAACACGUGGAUAACCUAUCUAUAAGACUGGGAUAACUUCGGGAAACCGGAGCUAAUACCGGAUAAUAUUUUGAACCGCAUGGUUCAAAAGUGAAAGACGGUCUUGCUGUCACUUAUAGAUGUAUCCGCGCUGCAUUAGCUAGUUGGUAAGGUAACGGCUUACCAAGGCAACGAUGCAUAGCCGACCUGAGAGUCUGAUCAGCCACACUGGAACUGAGACACGGUCCAGACUCCUACGGGAGGCAGUCGUAGCGAAUCUUACGCAAUGCGCGAAAGCCUGCCGGAGCCACGCCACGUGAGUAAUGACGGCCUUCGGUUCGUAACCCUCUGUUAUUAGCGUCGCCCAUAUGUCUCAGUAACUCUGCUCUUCUUGACCGUACCUAAUCAGCAAGCCCCGGCUAACUCCGUG
rnacentral:rRNA from 1 species